UUGUACAGGUCUUACAAACCGAAUGCAGUUUGACCUGUCAAGCUAAGCAGCUCUAGGAGUGGCUAGUACUUGCAUGGGAGACCACCACAGAAAAGAUGUGGCUGAACACU
rnacentral:rRNA from 1 species